CAGUAGAAUGUUUUAUUAUAUCUGAUGCUUGUGGAUAAAUGUUCAUUGAUGUGGAUGAUGAUCUUCACCCUGUCGGGUUGUCUUACUGAGAUCAGUGCUUCAUAUAAAGGUCACCACACGUCCCGUGAGGACCUCGUUGAUCACAUUUCGCUGAGGGAAGAACCACUGCAGGAAACCCCGCCUUCAGACACAACCACCGGCCUUUAAGUCCAUGGACAGCUUACUCUAAAAGAUGUGAGAGUGUGGCACAGCCGGAAGGCACGGACGGGGUUCGAACCCGCGAUCUUCGGUUUACGAGACCGACGCCUUACCACUUGGCCACCGCGCCUAGCAGUGUGAACGGGUCGACUCGAUGGUUUAAGAACCUUUCAUAGCCUAAGUGUAAUACUCAAUAUUUUGACUUUCACCGCAUCAUCACAAACAUUGAAACAGUCCUGUGUGUUUUCCAUAAGUAGUUAAAGUGGGCACAGCACAUAUAAAACCACGCAUCAGCAGACUUCAGGAGGCGGUUGUCUUGAGCAGCCAUAUUCGUGUCUUUACGUUCUGCCUCGUGACGCGCCGGCGCUGUGGAUCUCGAUCGCGAGCUCACCCGGAAGUACGGCAAGCGGCUAACGGACAGGAUUUCAACGUCCCCCCCCUGCAACAUGUUUACAGCUGUGGAUCCACGGUGACGUGAAGGCCGCAUGUUCCGUCGUCAGAGGGUGCGACGACUGCGAGACCCUCCCCCGUCGAUGAGGGAGCUGCUGCUCGUCUGACCCCCCCCCCCCCUUGUCUGCCUCACCAUGCCGCUGGUGUUGGACGCCGUGUGGGCGCUGUGGAGCAUUGGAGCCGGCAUCUACGACUACUUCCACACCAGCGCCAUGGAGGAGAGGAUCCACGAGCUGGAGAACGUCCUCUCCAUCCACCAGUUUGUGAUGGCGGGCCUGGCGGCGGGCCUCCUGCUGCUCAUCACCUACAUACUGUGGAGAAAACACUGAUUGUGUGUUCAGGACGUCCCGUGUGAGGUCUGGAGCACCGAUGGGACUCGAAGACUCUGAGAACUAGUCCGGUUCUCUUUGGGAUUUGGAUUCAAACUAAUACAGAAUCAUACUCUUGUUCUUAAGGGCACUUUGCACUUUGACCUCUCUCAAAAAAUGAUGCCAUUAAUUUAAAUGUGUGCUGAUAGGCAGUUUAGGAUUUGUUACAGAAGUUGUUUUUUAACCCCUUUAUCCCGACAUCAGAACGCAAUCACCUCAAGAUCAGAGUUUUUCUCAUGUUUUACACAUAAGACAGUUCAGUAGUGCUCAUUAAUUCAUCUCCAUGUUGAAUUAACGUGCAUCAGGUCAUGUGACUGUAGAUGAGCCUCUUUCAUCAAGAGACUGUUAAAAGUUUAAAUAUGUGUUUUAAGUCAGCCUCUGAUGUCUCUUUGAUGGAAUUGUUUCUCACUGAAAGAAUCACUUUUUGGGAAGUUUAAUCCCUGGAAAUGAAUGGAUCCAUUUGAUGUGGUUCUUUGGCUGAGCACUUUGGGUUUUGUGUGUGGGUUUAAUUUGCUUUUUUCCAGUCCGUCCUCCUCGUCUCUUGUCAUUAAAAAAAAAACCUUAACUAUCAUUUACUUUCUGGGGUUAAGCACUGUUAACAGGAAUUUAUUUGAAUAAUAAAUCAUUACUGGCGUUUAA